rnacentral:sRNA from 1 species
AAUCCCAUAGGAUUUUAAUUUGUCCCAUGGGAUAUUAAAAAUCCCAUGGGAUAAUAAAAUCCCAUGGGAUU